rnacentral:lncRNA from 1 species
AAAAUCGUAGCAAGAAGAAUAUACACCAAACCAAACCCACCCCAAACCAAAUCCCUCCUCACAGCUCACCAGCCUGUUCUUCCUCCUUUUUGCUCUCGCACUCUCACAGAGUGAAACCACAAACCAAACAGUUGGUGGGCAAUAGACUGAGUGAAAAUGCGUCUUCUUCUACUCCUUUUUCUUGUUCUUCUUAUGCAUUUCACUCACUUUACCGCCGGUAGACAACCCCGUAUACCUGAAUACCAGGCUUUGCUUGCUCUGAAAACUGCCAUUACCGACGACCCAAAGUUAGCUCUUGCCUCGUGGAACAUCUCUACUAGUCACUGCACGUGGAACGGUGUCACGUGCGAUAGAUAUCGGCAUGUGACCUCUCUUGACAUUUCAGACUUCAAUGUUACCGGCACUCUUCCGCCGGAAGUUGGAAAUCUUCGUUUCUUACAAAAUCUCUCCGUUGCCCUUAACCAAUUUUCCGGCCCCAUUCCCGUUGAAAUCUCGUUUAUUCCGAAUCUUCAUUACCUUAAUCUCUCCAAUAACAUCUUCAGCUUAGGAUUCCCUCCUCAGUUAACCCGUCUCCGUAACCUUAAAGUCCUCGACCUUUACAACAACAACAUGACCGGUGACCUUCCCGUUGACGUGUAUCAGAUGACUAACUUAAGACACCUCCACCUCGGCGGGAACUUUUUCGGCGGCCGCAUUCCGCCGGAGUAUGGAAGAUUCCAGUUCCUAGAGUACCUCGCAGUUUCCGGCAACGAGCUCGUCGGAGAAAUACCACCAGAGAUAGGAAACAUCACCACGCUUCACGAGUUGUACGUAGGGUACUACAACACCUUAUAUCUCGCAGUUUCCGGAAACGAGCUCGUCGGAGAGAUACCACCGGAGAUUGGAAACGUCACCACACUUCACGAGUUGUACGUAGGAUACUACAACACCUUCUCCGGCGGAAUCCCGCCGGAAAUAGGGAACUUAUCACAGCUCGUAAGGUUUGAUGCUGCAAACUGUGGAC